rnacentral:rRNA from 1 species
UACGAAGGGUGCAACCGUUGCUCGGAAUUAUUGGGCGUAAAGCGCACGUAGGCGGCUCUGUAUGUUGGAUGUGAAAACCCUCGGCUCAACCAAGGAAGUGCAUCCAAAACUGCGGAGCUUGAGUACUUAAGAGGAUCGCGGAAUUCCCGGUGUAGAGGUGAAAUUCGUAGAUAUCAGGAGGAACACCGGUGGCGAAGGCGGGUCUCUGGGCAGUAACUGACGCUGAGGAGCGAAAGCGUGGGGAGCGAACAGG